AACACACUGCACAUAAAAGAAAGUCUGUUUGUAAGAGAGAGAUCGGAUAACAGAUGGGAGACAGAGACGGAGUAGGCUCUUCGGCGUCGACACGGGGGAUCCGUCGCACAUGACUCCGGUGUCGAGAUGACCAAGGGGAUCCGCCGGCGAAGAAGUUUGUGGCAGCUCUCCGGCGUCGUCGACAUCGGGGAAGAGAAUUUGUGACUUAUAAUAAGAUCUUGCCGGCAAAGUUUUUGAAGAAUUUGGCUGACACAAAGACAUCAUAUUAUGUGCAGUGGGGAAUUUGUAUUGCUAUCUCAGAGUCACUUCCUUACUAGCACGACUAAGUCCAUGAAGAAAAGGAUCGAGACAAUGGAAUGUGAGCAUGCUAGAGCCCGAUUGUCCGAGGAUAAGAGUUGGGGUGGCUGAAAGUAUAAAGUGUCUUGAGGAGCUGGCUUCAAUGAAGACUUCAUUUUUGACCCGCAUGCUUUUGAAAAGCUCAAACAAGUUAUGUAUGCCUUGAAGUCGGCUGUAGAAAAACAAAAUGAUGCAGCCGACACCACCGUGGAAGCUUUUACAUGGACGGGUACCGUUAGCCUGAUCCAGAUGCACCAUAGGGAUUAUGUAAAGAGUACUUGUAAUCAAAUAUACAUCAGUUAAAUAAAUAAUUUGGUUGUAAAAUAUUAUUGUAAAAGUAAGAGUAAAUGGAUAAUUUUGGGUCGAUUUCAUUUU
rnacentral:lncRNA from 1 species